rnacentral:rRNA from 1 species
UGUAAGCGUAUACCAAAGUUGUUGCAGUUAAAACGCUCGUAGUCGGAAUUUGGCAGUUCCGGAUGUGUGCACGUCGUGUGCGCACUUCGCGGGGAUUGCUUUUGUGGUCUUGCGUAGGAUGAGGCACUUUUAUUAGUGAACGUCCUCACGCAACCACUUUUUACUGUGAGAAAAUCAGAGUGCUCAAAGCAGGCAUUUGCCGUGAAUGUAUUAGCAUGGAAUAAUAGAAUAGGACUUGGUUCUAUUUUGUUGGUUUGUCGGGACUGAGUAAUGAUUAAGAGGGACAGUUGGGGGCAUUUGUAUUUCGGUGCUAGAGGUGAAAUUCUUAGAUUACCGAAAGACAAACUGCUGCGAAAGCGUCUGCCAAGGAUGUUUUCAUUGA